GGGAAGGUAGUUCAGUCUGGGACAAGCAGAAAGCGAAGAUUUUUUUGCUUUCCUGUUUGCAGGAAAGAACACACGGCUGAAGACCGUGACGUCGAGGGUUCAAAUCCCUCCCUUCCCA
rnacentral:tRNA from 1 species